UUCUGAAAAAUCGUGUAGCGUCUAUUGCCACUGUGAAGCUGAGGAAGCAUCUUGAGAUCAGCAUGAAAAAUGACAGUUUAGGCCAGCUUUCACGCAUGUGAUACCUGCCACCUCCCACCAGCAACAAAUAUCAAGUUCUGAGAUUUGAGAUUUGAGAACUUCUGGUUCUCAACCACUUCAUUGACCACUAGGUCACACCCUGGGGUGUAUAUCUGGACUACAAUCUAGACUAAACCUCCGGGUAGACUCUGCAGUAUCAACAACCAUAGCGCACGGAGUAUGGUAGAAUUCCUCGGUACAGUCAUUAAAGAAUCAUGUGGCGCGACGAAAGGUGUUCCCCCUAAUUCUGGAAUAGGGGGAUUCCUUGUUAUUAAGGUGUCAAGGCGCUCGAAGGUCACAAGCGGAAGAAACUGGUACUUUGAUCAUUCAAUUAACUCCUUUCUGCCAGUCCGUGCUUGCUGUCAUGCUUGCAAAAGCUGGAAUGUCGGUCGGUUAUACCUACUAUUGGAUUUUUCAGAUCAAUUCUUUGCUGCAAUCACUUUGAUCCACCUAAAUUUUAUGGAGCAUACAACUCUAAUGGAACCCAAAGGUGCAGGAGAAUAAAAGUUGUUUAAUGGAACAUACAAAAGAACAUACUGUUUUGACGAUUCUCAAUGAUUAUUUGGGAAGUAAAAAGUUUCAAAGAUCUCUGCUCAAGUCGAGAAGGGCAAGCUAUUGAAGCUUUGAGUGGUACUUAUUCUCAUGUUGGAUGGUACAUCAAUCAAGACUAUGGAUGUGAUAACUUUGUAUUGUUGGCUUUUGGUUUUGGAUAAUUAGGCUCGCACGACUUUAAAAUGUGUCACGAGGGUCUAAGGCUCACUUCUUUAUAUACUAGCAAUCAACGUCUCUUAUGUGUUUUGUUUUAUUGAUGUGACAAUGGCUUUCUUGUUUUACCCUGUCGUCGAAUGGGUCUUCAGGAAAACUGACUUCCUCUAUAAUGUAAUUACAUAUAGAAUCAACUAUGUCUUGA